CCAGGUUGUCCCGAUUCCCCAAGAGGGAUCUACGUCAAUGAAAAAGAAACGCUCCUUCCAGCCGUGAAUGGAGGAAGGAGCAUCCUUGACGAGGCCGCACCCUCGCCGCGCCGCGAAGCACCACCACCCUCUGUCCCGGGGGUGGCCGUUCAGGCCGUAGCAUUCCCAAAAGACAUUCAGGGUGGCGGGAACCUCAUGCAUGCGGCAGAGAACCUGGAAGGCCGUCAGGG
rnacentral:lncRNA from 1 species